CAUGUAUAUAUUAUAAUUGUAGUUUUAAAAAAUCACACCCACACACAAACAUCUCUAGCACCAAAGUCGAGAUGUUGCUGAGAUGCGGAGAGCGUCAUUAUCGCCUAGCAACUCUCUUAGCAACAGGUAACAUCUGCCGCUGCCUGGACCAAUCCGCUACCAGAACAGCUGUGUUGUUGCUUAUUGCACAUAAAAGGAUAUUUUAAGAUCUUAGAUUAUUGCAACCCAGAUUGGAACUGGGUGUAAAAGAAAAAAAAAAAAAAAAAAAGAAAACUUACAUCAAGACAAGGAUUUGGAUAUCUGACACAAAAACAAAGGACCAAUGGCACAGCAUCCAACAACCAGCAUUUUUUUUCCUCAGUGAAUUGCGUUUUAAAGAAACGAAGAGAUACUUCUAAAUUACAAGAACUCGUCGUGUUUUCUAUAAGCCGUACAGAAGAGCCACUGUGUAAUAAAGAAAUGCUUGCUGUUGAAAAGAGUCUGACUGAAACGAAAGAGAUCCAUUUAGAACAGCAGUUUGACGGCUGACUACAGUAACGUCGGCCCAUUCACUCCGAGAAAGACCAAAUACAUCAACAACGUCGAAAGUUGCAUACUUUAAGAGAAAAUAUGCAGAAGAAGAGGAUUCACAUAAAGAUUACCAUGGGUAUUUUCAGAAACACUUGAUAUUGCCAGAGGACCGGACAUGCAUUUUAAGGCUGUCUCUGGAGAAGCUAAAGUUCCUUGAGGAUCCUGAAGUCUAUCUGCGUAGGUCUGUCUUGAUUAACAAUUUGUUAAGAAAGAUCCACCAUGAGGCUGAGAAAGAGGGCUUUGAGUACUUCGGAAAACAUACCCCAGAACCAAGAAAGCGACUGAAACUCAUGGUUGCCGGCUGUUGCUCUCAGUCCUUCUGCUACAACGAGCUGCAGUCUUAUCAUGUUGUGCCUUAUGGGUCAGACAACACCAUGUAUGGAUUGGGCUUUCCCAGCAGUCAACGAGGCCAAACUCCUCAACUACUGGUUUAUAAAAUGGACGAUAAGGGAUGAUAACUUUUUGACUAGCACUUUGAAACAAGCACAAUGUUUAUCAAUAGCUUAACAGAGGCAGAGAUAAUAUUGAAAUGCUUUCAGUAAAUGGAAGACCCAUGCCAUGCCUUAAAAAACACGACUGAGAAGCAUGGGUGUCAAAGUAUAUCAUAGCAUUUGGAAGCACAGUAGAAGUGGUUAAUAAAUUGUAUUGUGGUGUUCUGCUUUUUAUGUCAGAGUGUGGCAAUAUACAACAAGGAUCUAAGCAGCUGAGCAAAAAAUAUUUUGAUACACAGUUUACAGGUGAGGGCAUAUGCAAAUUCAGCGGCAGCAGUUGAAAAUUUCAGGGACCUUUGUGAUUAUAUAUAUAUAUAUAUAUAUAUAUAUAUAUAUAUAUAUAUAUAUAUAUAUAUAUAUAUAUAUAUAUUUAUUUAUAAAUACAGUAUAAAAUAUAUAUAGAGUUUUUAUAUAUUUUAAGCUUUUGUUCAUUCAUUGAGAGCAUUAAUGUUCCCAAAAGCAUAUUGUAUGAUUGUAGCUUAAUCAGUGAAUACUAUACUGUUAAAAUGGAAACUUUUAAACUAUACAAUUUAGAAGCCUAAAUCAGAUAUCCAAACUUGUCUGUUGUCUGUUAUCGAUGAUUUAACAGCUGAUCUGCAGCUGUAAAAGAAGACUAUAGUUUGUGACUGCUGGCCGAUGUAAUGAAUGACUACUAAAUGUUCUGUUUUGGCAUCGAUAAAUAUCUUAUUAUUAACUUGUCAAACUAAUGUAGCCAAAACAUACUAGAUUGCUAUCAAUAAUCACCAAACCUUUCACCCACUUAUUUAACAAGCUGUUUUCCUCACCAUAUCAAUAACACAGGUGUUUGAAAUGUGAUAAGAUAUUCACCUCAAGUUUUUACCCACACCUUUAAAUAAAACAUUAUGCAUUGCAUUGGGUACGGAAUACAGACACUGUAUUACUGUAUUUAUGUUUGUCUUUCUCUGACAUUCCAGAGAGGGUUUGUUCAAUUGAUCCAAACUGCGCCAUGUUUAGAGAAAUAAUAAUAAAGGGGCCUUUGUGAACACGAAGGUUAUGAAAAUCAACCAUUUACAUGUGUGCCUGAGCACUUAUAUACUUAUAGUACUUAUAUUUUAUUGCCUUUAUGUUUAGAGAAAGUGCAAUAGGUGGUUAUAUUAAGGAUUUGUUUUGUGCAGUUACUGGCAGCAGCGGAAUCAGCUGUCCUAGUGCCAGUAAAAAUGCAACUGGUUGUUAACUUCUGAAAAGUAGCUAACCUGUUUAUUAGGUUUGAGGUCUAUGGCUGCGUACAAAUGGGAAGACUAAUGUUAGCCAAUUAUAAGUUGAAUUAAUAAAUACAACACGGUUGCCAUAGCGCUGUUUUUUUUUUAUUUUAAAUUUGUAUUUGUUUUUCUUUUCUGUGGAACAGUGGCUUAAUGUACUAGUCUGAGGGCCUGACUCAGCAGAUUCUCCUACUGCAGGGACAACACAGCUAAGUUUUACCCCUGUGUAUAUGGCACACUUGUAUGAAUGCAUAGCACGCACAAGCACAUGCUUACUGUGAAUAGUGUGGCUGGACUGUGUUUCUAUGCAUACGGUAUCUGGUACUGUAAUGCUGUUUCAGAAAGAUAUGUUUGUGUAAAUAUGCAGCAGAUAAAAAAAAAUGAGCUGCAAGCAAAAUACAUUGGUGGAAUAAAUGGAAAAUGCAAAAUCCAUAUUUAUUUUAAUGCUGAAUUAGAUUAUUUUGCUCUGCAUUUGCGUCCAUUGUAGUUCAGUAUUUGGAAUAGUGUGCCUUACUGUGAUGUGUGCAUAUGAUCCAUUGUUUAUAUAGUACUGUAUCUAAAUGUAUGUCCAAUCAAUGCUUUUAAAACUGAGGUUAUUACUUUUAAGAACCAUAUGGUGCAAUAUUUAACUAUAGAACAUCUGCUAAGGUUUUGCUGCCUGGUUUUUUUUGUAAUUGCUGCCUAUGAUUUAAUAACGUUUGUGUACCAUGUUUGUUUCUAUAUAGUUAAGAGUGCAAACAUGGGUUGAAAAAGUGGGAGCCUAAUUAAAUAGAAAAUAAAUGGUCCCUUGUAAAUGUAAAGGUCAUUCCCCAUCAUUUGUAUUUCUGUUGAAGUCUCUGCACUCUCUGGAACCCGUUCAUUAUGUAUUUUAUUAAUAGUAAGAUAGUGUUCGCUUGAAGUGAGUUUUACAGCCUGUGCCAGAUAUGUGACAAAAAAAUAUUGUAAUUAAGUAUUGCAUUUAUUUAAAAAGGUAUUGAGCUUAUCUGCUAUCAUUACUGCCAAAUAAAUAUGGUUUUAAAUAUAUAGAAUAUGAAUGAAAAAAAACCUAUAUAAAUAAAAAUAUAUGUGAUAUAUUUUAAUACAUUGAUAAACAUGUAACAUUAUCUAUUUUCAGAUAUUGCUAGAGGAUGCUGAUUUUUAACAUGGAACAGUUCAUUUACAGAAAACCCUCUUAUUUUCAAAGUUUACAAUUUAUGUAUUUUAAUGUAUUUAAAUAUUUUUUAAAAUGCUAUAUAUUUGGCAAAGUAUUUGUUAUUUUG